ACUCCUACGGGAGGCAGCAGUGGGGAAUAUUGGACAAUGGGGGAAACCCUGAUCCAGCCAUGCCGCGUGUGUGAAGAAGGUCUUCGGAUUGCAAAGCACUUUAAGUUGGGAGGAAGGGCUUCAGGUUAAUACCUUGAAGUCUUGACGUUACCAACAGAAUAAGCACCGGCUAACUCUGUGCCAGCAGCCGCGGUAAU
rnacentral:rRNA from 1 species